GGGGGAGGCAGUUGUGGAGGUCAGACAAGGCUUUCCAAUAGAGGUGUCUGCCAUUCUUCACGGUACAGAGGACUUCCAGGGUUCUGAAGCUAAAGAGUGAACCACUUCGGAAAAAGGAAUUACUUCUUAUGUGUGUUCACAAGGCUGGGUCCAUGUCUGGCACAGAACUAUCACCUAAUAACCAAUCAACGUGAAAUAAUCCAGUUAAUGGAUGGGUUUAGUUAAGUGGUGUGCUGGCAAAUGCUUACUAACUGGCUACCCAAAAACAUGAAUGCAUCAAACAAAGCUCUGAUCUGUAACAUCUGCCAAUGUCUGUGGUGAAAACACUGCCGCCGUGGCUAAUUUCAAGCUACCGAUGUGAUGUCAACUGGCUCCCAAGAUUCCCGAGUGUGGCCGUUGCUCUGUUCUGAUCAAUCACCCCAAGACGGGCCACUUUUGCAGAUUAUCUUGAAUUACAAACAGUUAAGACUGAAAAGACUCUGGAAGAAUAUUUCACCUUCCUCAACUGCCUAAAAACCUUAGCUGGAGGACCUGCUCCAGGAAGAGCGCUGUCAGCGUGAGGACAUGUAAUGGGAGCGAGGGUUGCUAGACGGGGUGGGAAAACCUACUAAGUCUGUGAAAAUCCCUCUCUGUGCGCCAUUGUCUCCAACUGGCCCAGCAAACAUUUGUUCACCAAACAUCUACUCUUUUUCAUCUUCACGUGAAUUGGCAUUCCUUCCCUCUGAAGUUCCGGACCCCUACCCCUCUGCUUGGCUCGGGAUGCCAAAUACACCUGAUUGCCUCUGGAAUCUCACACCUGUGUGGGUUCCCUGUAUGUGUGAUACUAAAUUUGGUUUUCUCCUAUUA